GACGAACGCUGGCGGCGUGCUUAACACAUGCAAGUCGAACGGAAAGGCCCUGCUUUUGUGGGGUGCUCGAGUGGCGAACGGGUGAGUAACACGUGAGUAACCUGCCCUUGACUUUGGGAUAACUUCAGGAAACUGGGGCUAUUACCGGAUAGGAGCUCCUGCUGCAUGGUGGGGGUUGGAAAGUUUCGGCGGUUGGGGAUGGACUCGCGGCUUAUCAGCUUGUUGGGGGGGUAGUGGCUUACCAAGGCUUUGACGGGUAGCCGGCCUGAGAGGGUGACCGGCCACAUUGGGACUGAGGUACGGCCCAGACUCCUACGGGAGGCAGCAGUGGGGAAUAUUGCACAAUGGGCGGAAGCCUGAUGCAGCAACGCCGCGUGCGGGAUGACGGCCUUCGGGUUGUAAACAGCUUUCGCCUGUGACGAAGCGUGAGUGACGGUAAUGGGUAAAGAAGCACCGGCUAACUACGUG
rnacentral:rRNA from 1 species